GACGAACGCUGGCGGCGUGCUUAACACAUGCAAGUCGAACGGAAAGGCCCAGCUUGCUGGGUGCUCGAGUGGCGAACGGGUGAGUAACACGUGGGUGAUAUGCCUCUAACUUCGGGAUAAGCUUGGGAAACUGGGUCUAAUACCGGAUAGGACAAUCGUUUAGUGUCGGUUGUGGAAAGUUUUUUCGGUUAGGGAUGAGCCCGCGGCCUAUCAGCUUGUUGGUGGGGUAAUGGCCUACCAAGGCGUCGACGGGUAGCCGGCCUGAGAGGGUGGACGGCCAAAUGGGGAUGGGGGAAGGGCCCGGACUCGACGGGGGGGGAGGGGGGGGGAAUAUUGCACAAGGGGGGGAGGCCGGAUGGAGGGCCGGCGGGGGGGGGAUGAGGGCCUGCGGGUUGGAAACUUUUUUCGCGGGGGACGAAGCUUUGGUGGCGGGCCCUGUAAAAGAAGCACCGGCUAACUACGU
rnacentral:rRNA from 1 species